rnacentral:rRNA from 1 species
UAAGCGGAGGAAAAGAAACCAACAGGGAUUGCCUCAGUAACGGCGAGUGAAGCGGCAUCAGCUCAAAUUUGAAAUCUGGCUUCGGCCCGAGUUGUAAUUUGUAGAGAAUGUUUCGGGCGUGGUCCGGUCUAAGUUCCUUGGAACAGGACGUCACAGAGGGUGAGAAUCCCGUGUGAUCGGGUGCCGCAGUCCAUGUGAAACUUCUUCGACGAGUCGAGUUGUUUGGGAAUGCAGCUCAAAAUGGGUGGUAAAUUUCAUCUAAAGCUAAAUAUUGGCCAGAGACCGAUAGCGCACAAGUAGAGUGAUCGAAAGAUGAAAAGCACUUUGGAAAGAGAGUUAAAUAGUACGUGAAAUUGUUGAAAGGGAAGCGCUUGCAACCAGACUUGCAUGCAGUUGAUCAUCCGGUGUUCUCACCGGUGCACUCGAUUGUAUUCAGGCCAGCAUCGGUUCUAGCGGUUGGAUAAAGGCUUUGGGAAUGUGGCUCCUCCGGGAGUGUUAUAGCCCAAGGUGCAAUGCAGCCUGCUGGGACCGAGGACCGCGCUUCGGCUAGGAUGCUGGCGUAAUGGUUGUAAGCGACCCGUCUUGAAACACGGACCAAGGAGUCUAACAUCUAUGCGAGUGUUUGGGUGUCAAACCCAUACGCGUAAUGAAAGUGAACGGAGGUGAGAGCUUCGGCGCAUCAUCGACCGAUCCUGAUGUCUUCGGAUGGAUUUGAGUAAGAGCAUAGCUGUUGGGACCCGAAAGAUGGUGAACUAUGCCUGAAUAGGGUGAAGCCAGAGGAAACUCUGGUGGAGGCUCGCAGCGGUUCUGACGUGCAAAUCGAUCGUCAAAUUUGGGUAUAGGGGCGAAAGACUAAUCGAACCAUCUAGUAGC